UCGGAGUAGGUGUUGGAGUUGAAACUUAAGGACUUCGUCUAAAUCUUUUCUUAUUAACCAACUUUUUCUUGUAAGCCAUUUAUAAUCUGUGAAUACAACAAAAUAUUUAACAUUUAAAAUUGAUAAAAAUAAAAAAAUAAUUUAAAUAAAAAAAUUACUCACAGAAUAUAUUAGCAGUUUUGUAAAUUACUCACGUGAAGCAGUCAAAUACUCUGACAUAUAGCAUUUUAUAAACUGUAAAAUGGUCUAAAAACACUGCAAGGAAAUCAACCUAUACAUAUAUGUGGAUCAAAAAUUAUCACCUUCAAUAAGAGGGACGGGACAGAUCUUCAAUUAAAACGCCAAUUAUCUGAAUCAUAAGGAAAUCGUGAGAUGGUGAAGAAACUAACCAGGCAAUAAGGAUCUGUUAAGAUUUAUAUAAGUAUAACCAAAAUAAAAUGACGAUAACCACUACUAAAAAUUAAAUGUUGAUUGAUGAUUCAAAAUAUCUAAACAAACAGUGUAGUAAUAAGAAAAAACCCAACCUGCUUGAAAAAUUCAUCAAGUACAAGUUCAACAGAAUUCUUCUUUGCAUCUCUUCCCGUUUCAAUGUCAUCAUCCCUAGGUUCUUCACGUCUAGAGUCACCAGAAUCCUGUUUAGAAUAAGAUAAUAUCACACAAAUAAUGCAUUUCUGAUCUCAGAACAAGAAUUUUUUAUCCCACCAUUGAACUAAAUCUUCUAAUAAUCAACAAAAGCCCAACAAAUUGAAGCUAGAGGAUUAAAAUUAAGAUCUCAGUUAUAAUUUGAUUAUAAUUAUAGCAUUACAAAAAACCAUUGAAUUUUAUCUUCAGAAUAUAUGAAAAAUUAAGAUUAAGGACAGUAUUUAAAUCAAAAUUUUAAGAAGAGGGAGGAGAAAUCUCCAUACAUUAAUAAUGAAUGAAUAUGACAAUUAUAUAUCUUUGGUUAAUUUCCAUAUGGAAAGCUAAAAAAAAUUAAAACUAAUAUUUUGAGUUUCAACCAUAUUUUUAAGUAUAAAUACACUUUGAUUAAACAUAAUUCUCAUCAAAAAUCACAAAAAUGAUUCUAAUUAUAGCAUCGAUCCAUUAAUAUCUCAUAUCCCAACAAAUCAAUUCGAAUUAAAAAAAUCAUAAGAAUAAGAUAUCAAAAUUUGUGUUAAAAAAAGCUGUAAAACUGUAAAAUGGUCUAAAAACACUGCAAGGAAAUCAACCUCUACAUAUAUGUGGAUCAAAAAUUCUCACAUUCAAUGAGAAGGACGGGAUAGAUCUUCAAUUAAAACGCCAAGUACCUGAACCAUAAGGAAAUUGUGAGAGGUGAAGAAAUUAAUAAGGUAUUUAACAUGCAAUAAGGAUCUGUUAAGAUUUGUAAUGAAUCAGGAGAAAUACAUUCAUUCCUCAUUCCACUGUUAUCAAAAUUGAGUAAGAGUUGAUUGUUCAAACAAAUGUUUUAUAAAAAAUUGAAAGAUUGAAAAAAUCUCAUUUUCACAGAAUAAUCAUAUUGAAUGUCUGAAUGAUGAAAACUGUAUUUGCUUCUUCAAUUUCUGUUAACAUAAUCUACAAUUAUCAUAUCAAAGAUAGAAUCCAUACACCAUAACAUAUAAUAUCUCUCAAUCCCAAGCGAAGUUAAAUUGGCUUAACGCCUUAAAAACAUGAGUUUACUUACAAUCCCAUUCCCUUUGCAAGGCCAUUGUCUAAGAACAUCAACAGAAGAAAAAUAAAGACGGUUUUGUAAUCAACCUAUCAUCAAAGAGAACCAUUAUUCAACAAAAAAAUCUAAAUAAUAAUGAAAGUCAAAAUAGAAGUACAAUAUAAAUGCACAUAAACUUACAACGAUUCAUAUAUGUAAGGGAUGAGGUAUAGUCAAGGGAUUGAGAAAAAUAGAGAACGUUCACUUCAGUGUCGUUCACCGAUAAACUCUGCCAUUAUCAUUAAAAUGAGAAGAAAAAAAUUAAGAUGGGAAGGAUUCCUGAUUAGGAACAACACCUAACGAACUUAAAAAAAAAAAAAAAGCUAAGACGGUGAGGAAAUUGGACAGAUGUCAACUAAUAUUAACUGUCAUAGAAAAUAAAAAACAUAUAACAAAAGACAGAUCUGCAACCACCAUACAAAAGCUAAGAUAGAUGGUGAGGAAAUUGGACAGAUGUCAACUAAUAUUAACAGCCACAGAAAAUAAAAAAAUAUAAGAAAAAAACAGAUCUGCAACCCUCCAAAACACUUAUAUUUCCAAGCAGAAAAAAAACCAAUGACCAAACCACCGUCUCAUGCAUGACAAUGUAAUCGACAGAAAUGAGUCCACUGAAUGAAACAAAACAAAACAAAAAUAUAGGUGGAGAUCGUACCCACUAUUGUGUUGAGAAUCCGUGUGUUGAGAAUGGGGGAAAUCCAGCGUUGUGGAGGGAAUAAAAAAUGAGAUAUUGGGGGAAGUGGAGAAGAGAUUUCCAGCAAGUAGCAACGUAAGGAGAAGUGGAGAAGAGAUUUCCAGCAAGGCAGCAACAACAGUGAAGAAUCUAAGAAGAAAUUCCCGGAGUCCGGAGGCCGGAGAAGAUGGAUUUGGAGGAGAACGAGGGAGAAGGGGGGUAGCAGGGGUUUACGUUUUUUGGGGGAUAGAAGGAUUUGG
rnacentral:lncRNA from 1 species